GGAAGCCCGAAGCUCCCUCCCUCUUCUCGACCGAAAACGCUGCAAAAACUUCCACCGGCCAUAUCUUCCUCCUCCGGCCACCAAUCCUCACUAAAUUUCUUCCAUUGGCUUCUUAUGGUCCUUGCGCACCCGUCUGUGGUGGCCUUGAACGGCGGCGCGGCCUGUAGCUGCGGCAGCAAGCUCAUUCCGAUUUGAGUUCGAUUUUAGUCAACGCCGGUUUUCUCCUAGCUCCGGCCACCAAAACUUUCGAUCCUUAGCUUCCUAAACUCGCCUCAACCUGUUGAUCAUCAUACCAGAAGGAUCGCACCUGGAGUGACCGGUUUCACGUUCGUUGGAGCUCCACCGGUUUUCGAUCUGAAACCAAAACCUUUCGAUCGUGAUAUCUCGAGUUGUAGUGCAUAGUUUUGAUUGAUUCUUGAACCAGUGAGUUCGACUUGAUGUUCUUAACAACUCUUCAGAAGGAAUAGAGGCCUGAAAUUGAAGUUUUUACGUCGAAAUCUUGCCUCGCCGGUUUCUGCAUUUUUCGCCGGUUUCUGGAAAAUUUCCGGCCACAUUCAAACUGUUCUAGGUGAUUGACGGUCUUCCUUGGUGAGCGUUUUUGGUGUGUAUUGUGAAAUUGAAGACGCAGCGGGAUUAGAGAGGGUCAUCCUACAGGUCAGGAGAAUCGAGAAGGUGAUCAGGCUGCUUAGAGUAGUGGUAUUUGAGUUACAGCUUUGUGGUGAGGUUGUUAUGCUCAUUGAGCUUACAUUUAAUUUUGGAGAGGGUGUGUUGUAAUAUUAAAGAACUUGCAGAUUUGGUUUAUUGUAGUAAUGAGAGGUGUGAAGUGUGGUUGUUUGUGAGAAAAAAAUUCAGGACGUUUAUUUGUAAUUGUUAUUAUUCAUGUUUCGGAUUUGAAUUGGUUAUUCAAAUUCAGGGCGUGACAGUUUGUAAUACCCCGUAAAUUCAAAUUAUUUCCCGAGGAAA